rnacentral:rRNA from 1 species
GACCGUCCCAGUUCGGAUUGUAGUCUGCAACCCGACUACAUGAAGCUGGAAUCGCUAGUAAUCGCAGGUCAGCAUACUGCGGUGAAUACGUUCCCGGGUCUUGUACACACCGCCCGUCACACCAUGGGAGCUGGUAACACCCGAAGUCAGUAGUCUAACCGCAAGGAGGACGCUGCCAAGGUGGGAUUAGCGACUGGGGUGAAGUCGUAACAAGGUAUC